rnacentral:rRNA from 1 species
AGUGAACGCUGGCGGUAGGCCUAACGCAUGCAAGUCGAACGGCAGCACAGUAAGAGCUUGCUCUUACGGGUGGCGAGUGGCGGACGGGUGAGGAAUACAUCGGAAUCUCCUUUUUCGUGGGGGAUAACGUAGGGAAACUUACGCUAAUACCGCAUACGACCUACGGGUGAAAGCAGGGGAUCUUCGGAACUUGCGCGAUUGAAUGAGCCGAUGUCGGAUUAGCUAGUUGGCGGGGUAAAGGCCCACCAAGGCGAUGAUCCGUAGCUGGUCUGAGAGGAUGAUCAGCCACACUGGAACUGAGACACGGUCCAGACUCCUACGGGAGGCAGCAGUGGGGAAUAUUGGACAAUGGGCGCAAGCCUGAUCCAGCCAUACCGCGUGGGUGAAGAAGGCCUUCGGGUUGUAAAGCCCUUUUGUUGGGAAAGAAAAGCAGCAGGUUAAUACCCCGCUGUUCUGACGGUACCCAAAGAAUAAGCACCGGCUAACUUCGUG